rnacentral:rRNA from 1 species
UACAGGGGGUGCAAACGUUGCUCGGAAUCAUUGGGCGUAAAGCGCACGUAGGCGGUUCGUUAUGUCGGAUGUGAAAGCCCUUGGCUUAACCGAGGAAGUGCAUCCGAAACUGGCGAGCUAGAGUACUAAAGAGGAUCGCGGAAUUCCCGGUGUAGAGGUGAAAGUUCGAUAGAUAUCGGGAGGAACACCGGUGGCGAAGGCGGCGAUCUGGGUAGAUACUGACGCUGAGGUGCGAAAGCUGUGGGGAGCAAACAGG